GUGACUGCGUACCUUUUGUAUAAUGGGUCAGCGACUUAUAUUCUGUAGCAAGGUUAACCGAAUAGGGGAGCCGGAGGGAAACCGAGUCUUAACCGGGCGUUAAGUUGCAGGGUAUAGACCCGAAACCCGGUGAUCUAGCCAUGGGCAGGUUGAAGGUUGGGUAACACUAACUGGAGGACCGAACCGACUAAUGUUGAAAAAUUAGCGGAUGACCUGUGGCUGGGGGUGAAAGGCCAAUCAAACCGGGAGAUAGCUGGUUCUCCCCGAAAGCUAUUUAGGUAGCGCCUCGUGAAUUCAUCUCCGGGGGUAGAGCACUGUUUCGGCUAGGGGGCCAUCCCGGCUUACCAACCCGAUGCAAACUGCGAAUACCGGAGAAUGUUAUCACGGGAGACACACGGCGGGUGCUAACGUCCGUCGUGAAGAGGGAAACAACCCAGACCGCCAGCUAAGGUCCCAAAGUCAUGGUUAAGUGGGAAACGAUGUGGGAAGGCCCAGACAGCCAGGAUGUUGGCUUAGAAGCAGCCAUCAUUUAAAGAAAGCGUAAUAGCUCACUGGUCGAGUCGGCCUGCGCGGAAGAUGUAACGGGGCUAAACCAUGCACCGAAGCUGCGGCAGCGACGCUUAUGCGUUGUUGGGUAGGGGAGCGUUCUGUAAGCCUGUGAAGGUGGCCUGUGAGGGUUGCUGGAGGUAUCAGAAGUGCGAAUGCUGACAUAAGUANACGUAUCACCCAAGACAACUUUACGGAGUUGACGAUUGACGGAGCGAAGCGACGUCAAAGCGUUCAUUAAAGUCGAGUUGGCUUAGGGAUACGUUCGUUGGGUAGGGGAGCGUUCUGUAAGCCUGCGAAGGUGGCCUGUGAGGGUUGCUGGAGGUAUCAGAAGUGCGAAUGCUGACAUNCGCUUAUGCGUUGUUGGGUAGGGGAGCGUUCUGUAAGCCUGUGAAGGUGGCCUGUGAGGGUUGCUGGAGGUAUCAGAAGUGCGAAUGCUGACAUAAGUAACGAUAAAGCGGGUGAAAAGCCCGCUCGCCGGAAGACCAAGGGUUCCUGUCCAACGUUAAUCGGGGCAGGGUGAGUCGACCCCUAAGGCGAGGCCGAAAGGCGUAGUCGAUGGGAAACGGGUUAAUAUUCCCGUACUUGGUGUUACUGCGAAGGGGGGACGGAGAAGGCUAUGUUGGCCGGGCGACGGUUGUCCCGGUUUAAGCGUGUAGGUGUGUGUUCCAGGUAAAUCCGGUUCACUUUAACACUGAGGCGUGACGACGAGGCACUACGGUGCUGAAGCAACAAAUGCCCUGCUUCCAGGAAAAGCCUCUAAGCAUCAGGUAACAUCAAAUCGUACCCCAAACCGACACAGGUGGUCAGGUAGAGAAUACCAAGGCGCUUGAGAGAACUCGGGUGAAGGAACUAGGCAAAAUGGUGCCGUAACUUCGGGAGAAGGCACGCUGACACGUAGGUGAAGUGAUUUACUCAUGGAGCUGAAGUCAGUCGAAGAUACCAGCUGGCUGCAACUGUUUAUUAAAAACACAGCACUGUGCAAACACGAAAGUGGACGUAUACGGUGUGACGCNUAUGUAGGUGAAGCGGUUUACCCGUGGAGCUGAAAUCAGUCGAAGAUACCAGCUGGCUGCAACUGUUUAUUAAAAACACAGCACUGUGCAAACACGAAAGUGGACGUAUACGGUGUGACGCCUGCCCGGUGCCGGAAGGUUAAUUGAUGGGGUCAGCGCAAGCGAAGCUCCUGAUCGAAGCCCCGGUAAACGGCGGCCGUAACUAUAACGGUCCUAAGGUAGCGAAAUUCCUUGUCGGGUAAGUUCCGACCUGCNGACGCCUGCCCGGUGCCGGAAGGUUAAUUGAUGGGGUCAGCGCAAGCGAAGCUCCUGAUCGAAGCCCCGGUAAACGGCGGCCGUAACUAUAACGGUCCUAAGGUAGCGAAAUUCCUUGUCGGGUAAGUUCCGACCUGCACGAAUGGCGUAAUGAUGGCCAGGCUGUCUCCACCCGAGACUCAGUGAAAUUGAACUCGCUGUGAAGAUGCAGUGUACCCGCGGCAAGACGGAAAGACCCCGUGAACCUUUACUAUAGCUUGACACUGAACAUUGAGCCUUGAUGUGUAGGAUAGGUGGGAGGCUUUGAAGCGUGGACGCCAGUCUGCGUGGAGCCGACCUUGAAAUACCACCCUUUAAUGUUUGAUGUUCUAACGUGGACCCGU
rnacentral:rRNA from 1 species